CCACCUGCUCAGCACCAAACAACAGACACGGUCAGAGAAUAGCUGGUGAACAUUUGGCUGCUAAUCACCCAGAGAUUUCCCUCAGGAUUUUAUCAAGUAAGAAUAUUUCAGUUUGUUCACAGCAUGUUGUGCUGCACCAAAAGGUCCAAAAAAAUCAAUUAAUCAAUUAUUUAACACAAAGUCUUAGAUGAGGUCAGACCACAUAUACUGUAUUCACAAGGUGCACACAGUCAUGCCAUUUUCAAUUUAGUCAAAUUAUUACAGAUCCAAAUUUUUUUCUCCUUUUUUCCACACAGGAGAUUGACUUUGAUUUAAAAUGUCACAGCCUUAUAAUGUGAUGUGAUUUGAAAGAUCUCUCUUCAUCUUGUUUUUAACAGGUAUAGCUGGUCAUAGCAGACCUGGUGUUUUUAUAUUUAAUGCAGCGUCUGGAGGUCUUCCCAGCCGAGAGCUUACCUUCGCUAAGAUUGCCAAGCAACAAGGCUACGAGACGGCUCUUAUAGGAACUCAGCGAGGCCUUUCCUGCUAUAUUUCUCCUUCCUCCAAGUGCACACAGCCAUGUUUGCCUCCGCAGCGUUCAGAGGAACGAGCCGUCACGGCAUCUAUGGAGACGCCGUCCAUGAGGUGGACUGGAGUGUAGUGUGUGAAUUACCUGGAGGCCUGUGUCCUGGUCUCAAAGAACUUCUUCAUUGUGUGAAGACUCUCUGUGAUCGUGGACAAAGUGGAGACACCUGGAGUAAACGCACAAAGGAAAAUGAUCAAUACACUACUGCCUAUUCCUCAUCAACAGUUCAACAUUACAGCUGAAACUGAACAUUUAACUAAAUAUUUUUAUGCUUCAUUAUAAAGUGACUUUUAUUUCUAUUUUGGUUUACUAUAACUUUUACCAUUACAUACUAUUUUUCUUUUUACAUAUUACUUCUAAAUUUACAUUUAACUUUUACUGUUGCAAACUACAUCUAGUAACAGAUUACUUUGACUUGCAUCUCACUUCUUGUUUCAAACAGUGCAAUAUCAGUACUCAAAUCCAACUAUCACUGUGUACACAGUCUUGUAUAUAUGAUGCCCUUUUCUAUUAUUGUUGUUGUUGUGACUGAUAAAAGAUUAUGUGGAUUAUAUGGAGACACUGUAGACAUACAGCUGCCGUCGGACCAGGCUGCAGGACUUUAUGCUGGUCAAUAUGUCCACUCAACGUUUUCUGGAUACUUACUGUACCUGAUGUAAGAACAUAUAAAGGUGAUAGCAGUCACAUACGAUGGUAAAUUUCACCAUAUUGAUAAGAGAAUGUAAAGGUACAAUAUAGGUCAAGUUUAAAGGUUUACAAUGAGUGGUGGCAGAAUAUCUUUAAAAAAAUGUUUUGGUAGCAUCAACAUACUUAAUUGAAUUAGUUUUUGCAUCACAUCUGUUUUUACACACACGGGUGGAGUAUCAGAAAGCAGUUAUAAAACAAUGAGCGCAGUUUGCAUAGAAAUAUUGUGAUAACCCAUGUGGUUUCUGGGUGUGAUGUUGCCGUGGAGAGCAGAGGUCAAAACCACUACCAAAUGUCUCAGUUGUCAUAAUCCUUGUAUGUUUACAUUGUGCAUUUACUCUUAUAUCCAUUCAUAUAUAAUAUAUCAGUGAUCCUGGCUGUACUGGAGUAAUUCCUGGAACAAUGAGGCUUUAUGUCGCAGAAUCGUAUUCACUUUUCACUUUACAGUUAUAAACUGUACACUAGGCACAUAUGAUCAUAUUGGUUUAAUUGUACAAUGCCUUUACUCACAGUUAUCGUAACAUACAUUUGGGUUACGUAUUAGGGGUCAUCAUACAGUUAUUAAGUUAUUGUUAUAUACUAUAUGUUGUUCAGAAAAUGCAGGUUUCGACAACAGCAUCCUUUGUCUCAAAGUCUUUUUGGAUAUUUUAUCCAAUUUCAUCCUGUGUCCAGAACAGAAAAAAAUAUUUGGAACCAUUGUUUGAUACUUUUCUUUUGACCAUUUGCUGUCACAGAUUUGUUUUGUUUGUACUAAAUAUGAAUUCUUUAAGUGGUUUUCGUCAGCUUGUCAGUACUCUCUGUAAUGUAUUUAUUGUUUUUUGUUGGAGUAGAUGAGAGAAUUCAUGCCAAAAUGCAGAACACAUGUAUUUUCUGUGGCAAAAAAUAAGACAAAUAUUGAAGAAAGCUCAUACCCAUAUCAAAGUGUAAUAAUCAAUGUGUCAGUUUUUAUUGUCAGUGAAGGUGUUCAAACUUUUAGAAUGAAAUUCUUUUACAACUUUUUCCCUCCUUUUUGUUCUUUUUAACAUAUUUUAACAAAAUAUGUGAAUUUUGGUCUGUGUUGCUUUUACUGGUGACUUUUAAUAAAGAAAG